rnacentral:rRNA from 1 species
AUUGAACGCUGGCGGCAGGCCUAACACAUGCAAGUCGAGCGGUAACAGAGAGGUGCUUGCACCUUUGCUGACGAGCGGCGGACGGGUGAGUAAUGCUUGGGAAUAUGCCUUUUGGUGGGGGACAACAGUUGGAAACGACUGCUAAUACCGCAUGAUGUCUACGGACCAAAGUGGGGGACCUUCGGGCCUCAAGCCAAGAGAUUAGCCCAAGUGGGAUUAGCUAGUUGGUAAGGUAAUGGCUUAGCAAGGCGACGAUCCCUAGCUGGUUUGAGAGGAUGAUCAGCCACACUGGGACUGAGACACGGCCCAGACUCCUACGGGAGGCAGCAGUGGGGAAUAUUGCACAAUGGGCGCAAGCCUGAUGCAGCCAUGCCGCGUGUGUGAAGAAGGCCUUCGGGUUGUAAAGCACUUUCAG